GAUUUGGCGCUGUUUAUAAGGGCACACUUGCUGGUGGAGAUUUAAUAGCAGUGACAAGGUUGUCUACAGGUUCUGCACAACGAGACCUCGAGUUCGAAAACGAGGUUCGGUUAAUGGCCAACCUUCAGCACAGGAAUUUGGUUAGGCUCCAAGGUUUCUACCUUGAAGGAACUAAAACACUCGUCAUCUAUGAGUUUGUGUCUAAUGGAAGUUUGGAUAAAAUCUUAUUUGAUCCAGUCAAGCAGCCCAGUUUGAACUGGGAAACAC